GACGGGACCCCGCACAAGCGGUGGAUCAUGUGUUUAAUUCGAUGAUACGCGAAGAACCUUACCAGGUCUUGACAUCCCCCGCGAUGCUUUAGAGAUAAAGCGGAGGUAUUCGGGGAGACAGGUGGUGCAUGGUUGUCGUCAGCUCGUGUCGUGAGAUGUUGGGUUAAGUCCCGCAACGAGCGCAACCCCUAUUGCUAGUUACCAUCAUUAAGUUGGGGACUCUAGCGAGACUGCCAGUGAUAAACUGGAGGAAGGUGGGGAUGACGUCAAAUCAUCAUGCCCCUUAUGACCUGGGCUACAAACGUGAUACAAUGGCUGGAACAAAGGGAUGCGAAGCAGUGAUGUGGAGCGAAACCCAUAAAAACAGUCUCAGUUCGGAUUGAAGUCUGCAACUCGACUUCAUGAAGUCGGAAUCGCUAGUAAUCGCGGAUCAGAACGCCGCGGUGAAUACGUUCUCGGGGUUU
rnacentral:rRNA from 1 species